UACGAAGGGGGCUAGCGUUGUUCGGAAUUACUGGGCGUAAAGGGCGCGUAGGCGGUCAGCACAAGUCAGUUGUGAAAUCUCCGGGCUUAACUCGGAAAGGUCAACUGAUACUGUGCGACUAGAGUGCGGAAGGGGCAACUGGAAUUCUCGGUGUAGCGGUGAAAUGCGUAGAUAUCGAGAGGAACACCUGCGGCGAAGGCGGGUGGCUGGGCCGACACUGACGCUGAUGCGCGAAAGCCAGGGGAGCGAACGGG
rnacentral:rRNA from 1 species